rnacentral:rRNA from 1 species
AGAACGAACGCUGGCGGCGUGGAUAAGACAUGCAAGUCGAACGCGACUUAUUUUGUUAGCAAUAACAGAGUAAGUUGAGUGGCGAAAGGGUGCGUAACACGUGGGAAUUUACCAAGAAGUGGGGGAAUAGCUCGACGAAAGUCGAAUUAAUACCGCAUGUGAUCGAAAGAUCAAAGUCGGGGACCGCAAGGCCUGACGCUUUUUGAGAAGCCCGCGGCCCAUCAGCUAGUUGGUGAGGUAAUGGCUCACCAAGGCUAUGACGGGUAGCUGGUCUGAGAGGACGACCAGCCACACUGGAACUGAGACACGGUCCAGACACCUACGGGUGGCAGCAGUCGAGAAUUUUUUCACAAU